UGGCGGCGUGGUUAAGACAUGCAAGUCGAGCGCUGAUUACGGGGUAGCAAUAUUCCGUAGUUGGAGCGGCGCAAGGGUGCGUAACACGUGGGUAAUCUGCCAUGGAGUUUGGGAUAACUCGCUGAAAGGCGAGCUAAUACCGGAUGUGACGAUUGGAAGGCAUCUUCUGAUCUUCAAAGUUGGGGACCGUAAGGCCUGACGCUUCAUGAUGAGCCCGCGGCCUAUCAGCUAGUUGGUGAGGUAACGGCUCACCAAGGCUAAGACGGGUAGCUGGUCUGAGAGGACGACCAGCCACACUGGAACUGAGACACGGUCCAGACACCUACGGGUGGCAGCAGUCGAGAAUUUUUCACAAUGGGGGAAACCCUGAUGGAGCGACGCCGCGUGGGGGAUGAAUGGCUUCGGCCCGUAAACCCCUGUCAUUCGCGAACAAUGCCUGUGUAUUAACACCAUACAGGUUGAUAGUAGCGGAAGAGGAAGGGACGGCUAACUCUGUGCCAGCAGCCGCGGUAAUACAGAGGUCCCAAGCGUUGUUCGGAUUCACUGGGCGUAAAGGGUGCGUAGGCGGUCGGGUAAGUCUGAUGUGAAAUCUCACAGCUUAACUGUGAAACUGCAUUGGAUACUA
rnacentral:rRNA from 1 species